rnacentral:lncRNA from 1 species
GGGAUGGUCAGUACCGGCAACCUGAAAUCUGUCAUGGAUAAAUUAGGAAUCAAACUCAAGGAUAACGAAUUUAAGGAUCUGAUGCAAAAUCUCCCUGUUGAUGCUAACAAGAUUUCUCUAGAGACAUUGAUGAAAAAAUUGAAGGCUUUUACAGGAGACAAGAUCAAUUCCGUUGACAUGAGAAACAUCUUAAAGAACCUGGGGAUCGAACUCACAGAGAAGGAACAAGAAAGGCUACUGAGAACACUGCCUGCUGAUGAUGUUGGGAAGACAUAUUACAACAAGUUGAUAGAAAGUGUGAAGUCCUUCAAUGAGGGAAAGAUUGACGUAAGUAACCUGAACAAUAUCCUGAAAAGUCUGGGAAUCAAACUCCGAGAAGAGGAGUUUGCAAAGGUGUCCAAAGACCUACCUGUGGACUCUAGUGGGAAGGCUGAGAUGAAGAAGGUGAUGGAUAUAAUUAAAACUACUACAGAUGAUGACAAGAUCUUCAAGAACAGGUUAAUAGAAUCUGUGACGUCUCUCCAAGGUGGUAAAGUCGACAGCAACAACCUGGACACAGUUCUGGAUAACAUGGGAAUCAAACUUUCAAAUACGGAACUUCAAGAUCUGAAGCAAAGCAUGAACGUUGGAGGGGAGAAGAUCGAACCCAGUGAUGUACCGAGUAUCCUGGAGAAACUUCACAUAGAGCUCACAGAGGAGGAGCUAGAGGA